CCUACGGGAGGCAGCAGUGAGGAAUAUUGGUCAAUGGACGAGAGUCUGAACCAGCCAAGCCGCGUGAAGGAUGACUGCCCUAUGGGUUGUAAACUUCUUUUAUAAAGGAAUAAAACGAGGCACGUGUGCCUUUUCGCAUGUACUUUAUGAAUAAGCAUCGGCUAACUCCGUGCCAGCAGCCGCGGUAAUACGGAGGGUCCGAGCGUUAUCCGGAUUUAUUGGGUUUAAAGGGAGCGUAGAUGGGUUGUUAAGUCAGUUGUGAAAGUUUGGGGCUCAACCGUGGAUUUGCAGUUGAUACUGGCAGUCUUGAGUACAGGAGAGGUAGGCGGAAUUCGAGGUGUAGCGGUGAAAUGCUUAGAUAUAGCGAAGAACACCGAUGGCGAAGGCAGCUUACUGGACGGUGACUGACGUUGAGGCUCGAAAGCGUGGGUAUCAAACAGGAUUAGAUACCCGUGUAGUC
rnacentral:rRNA from 1 species